CGCGUAGGCGGCCUUGCAAGUCAGGUGUGAAAUCCCGGGGCUCAACCCCGGAAGUGCAUUUGAUACUGUGAGUCUUGAGUAUGGGAGAGGGAAGUGGAAUUCCUGGUGUAGCGGUGAAAUGCGUAGAUAUCAGGAGGAACACCGGUGGCGAAGGCGACUUCCUGGACCAAUACUGACGCUGAGGCGCGAAGGCGUGGGGAGCAAACA
rnacentral:rRNA from 1 species